UUGAACGCUGGCGGCAUGCCUUACACAUGCAAGUCGAACGGCAGCACGGGGGCGACCCUGGUGGCGAGUGGCGAACGGGUGAGUAACGCAUCGGAACGUACCCGGAAGUGGGGGAUAACGUAGCGAAAGUUACGCUAAUACCGCAUAUUCUGUGAGCAGGAAAGAGGGGGAUCGCAAGACCUCUCGCUUCCGGAGCGGCCGAUGUCGGAUUAGCUAGUUGGUGGGGUAAAGGCUCACCAAGGCGACGAUCAGUAGCUGGUCUGAGAGGACGACCAGCCACACUGGGACUGAGACACGGCCCAGACUCCUACGGGAGGCAGCAGUGGGGAAUUUUGGACAAUGGGGGCAACCCUGAUCCAGCCAUUCCGCGUGAGUGAAGAAGGCCUUCGGGUUGUAAAGCUCUUUCAGUGGGAACGAAACGGUUCAAGUGAAUAACUUGGGCUAAUGACGGUACCCAAAGAAGAGGCACCGGCUAACUACGU
rnacentral:rRNA from 1 species